rnacentral:lncRNA from 1 species
AAAAUGGCCACCCGUGGUGUUGGUGGCAAUUUUAUUGAUAACUGGGACUUAAAAACCCAUGCCAAUUACAAAAAUGAAACAUGGUUUUACAUGAAUAUCUAUGUUCUUCUUUUUUUCAAAUUUGCAAUGAACACCACCACCUUCACAUAAACCCAAUCUUUGAAGCUAUCAAGAAAUAUAAAAAACGCAUAUCUUCCACGACGGUUGAAGAGUAAAGCACCACAUGUUAUACAAAAUCGAAUAGUGAAACCAAUGGCCCCACCAAUAUAGAACCUUUCCAAAUCAAGUCCAAAAUGUUACCAGUCAGCCCCUCCUCUACAAAAUCUUCUCAUCUUAGGUCCGGAACUUACCCUUUAGUCCCUGCUUCCAUAAAUCCUUACAAAUUAAGUCCCAAAAUUACACUUUAACCCCUGUAGAUUCAAAUCUUGACAUUUGACUUCCCGAAACCAACUCCCAACGAAUUAUGAUUUGGACAAUAAUAAUAUAAAAUAAUAAUAAAAAUUACUUCUCAGGGUUUCGGGUUUAUCAUUUAAUUGUUUUAUUUAAAACGGAAUGUUACAGAUAUAAAUGAUAAAUACAAUUAACAAAGUAAAUAACCAAAAUGACCUUUUGGUAAAGCGAAACUCACAGAAUAUAUCCUAUCUAACCAUGGGGUAAACCCAUUGGAACAAUUAAAGAUGAUGUAUGAAAUGAAGUAAGUUAAGCAUUUUAACAAACAAUUUGUGUGCAAAAAAAUUUGUGCUUUAAGGAAAUUUCAUGUAAAAUCACUUCUUUGCCUACUGUGAUAACAAUCACAUGAGGAAGUAAGUAAUAAAAAUCAAAUCCUAAAACUAUAGUUGCUAGUUUAUCCGGGUGGGAAUCAAAAAGCUUACCGGAGUUGAGGAUACGCCAGAUGCACGACGACUUUAAUGGUGGACGAAAAAGGGAGAGCAUCGGGCGCAGAUGGUGAACGAAGGAGUGAGAGAUGCAUAUUAGGAAAUGAUUCGCGUGUUGCCGAAUUUCUUGUGUGUUUAGAAAUGAUAUCCAACCUAAAACAUCAACAAUCCCAAUGUAUUGGAAAAUGCCAUACGAAUGCCACGUAUCCAUGAAGCCGAAGAUGGAAAAUUGACAAAACUAAAAACCAUGUUUUGUUCAUCGGCGGAAGCAAAACCACCUAACUCAUGCCAAACCUUCCAAGCCGUGAGCUCCAAACUUGUAACUAUUCAUAAGUCGUAUCCACAAUUAAUAUGUUAUAUAAUAUCCUACAAAUUGUAAGCACAAGACUAAACUGCAAAUUUGGUCCCUGUGGUUAUCAAAAAAAUAUGGACAUGGUCUAAAAUUUUUUCAACUUGCACCAUUGGUCCAAAAUUGAAUUCUUUUUGUGGUUUUGGUCCCGAGAAAAGUUGAAAUGACCUUUUUGCCCUUUUACUUUUAUUUUUGAAUUUCUUUAUUAUUUUUUUAACAUUUAAAAAAAGAAAAAGAAAAAAUAAAGUGGCCAAUAUUCUACCCACCCGUAACCCUGCUCUCUUUUUUACAUUCUUCAUCUCUUUGACUCCCCNNNNNNNNNNNNNNNNCCAUUCUCAUUCCUACCACCACUAUUGUUGUCUUCAUCCCUUGGCUUUGUCUAUGUUAAACACAUUAACCUGCAAACUUACCUAUGUUCUUUACGUUCUUCACAACCAUUGAUCAAAUAUCAAAACACAAAAAACACUUCGCAUGUAGAUACACCUACCUGCAACUUAGAAAAAACCUACCCUGCCCCCCCCCCCCCCCCCCCUCUCUCUCUCUCUCUCUCUCUCUCUCUCUCUCUCAGAUCUGCAAAAUCCCUUUUACAACACAAUUAAUAUGAUCGAUGACUACACCAAAAUAUCAUGGAACGGUGGGAGGUUAAUCUAAACCAUCCAUGCUAGAAACCAACCUGUAACAUUUUUCGUAGCUAUUCAACCUCUCCGAAAAAAGGUAGAAACUGGUCUCUAAGAUAUGAAGCACAAAAAAAACUAUGAGAUGUAUCAGAACAAUGGGGAAGAAGUAAACAAACUGAUUCCCACCCCGAGUCUAUUCCUGUCUCUGCCUCCUCCAUUCACUCCUCUACUCUCUCAUUGUUGGUUAUCCAAACACCAACAACCAAAUGAACAUAAUUGGUUCCUCACGAAUCCCCAAAUUGAAGAUCUCGCACAUAACCUAAUCAAGUAAAAGUGAGAUUUCUUCAACGGAGAUAAUAGUUGAAGCAAGCCCCACUUCUAAUGAACAUAUUGAAGAAACCCAAAAUAGAAAAAUUAGUUUUUUUUGUCAACAACUUCUCAAGCAUUGGAACUGAUCAAGAUGCAGGUCCUAAAGUAGAAACAAUCUUCGUUUUCGGCCUCUACUUACCUACUAGUUGCAGGCUCUGGUCAAUCGUCAUUUGAUCCAUAUUCUUUUCGAUCGAUUGGCUCUGUUAUAUUCUCCUUGGAAAACACCACCAACUCCUCAUUUGCAUCAUGUACAUCCCUUGGUGACAACGAAAUGGGUCGGUGCUGGAAUCUCAGCUUUCUUGUUGGUUUUGGUUUUAGUGUGUUUUGGUUUUUGAUUAGGUGAAGAAGUGGUGAAGUGAAGGAGUUCGAUGGGUAUCAUGUUCCAAAUUAGGGAUACAAGGCAGAAAAAAUGGGAUAAAU